CCAGCUGCGUGCUGGGAGAACCACUGCUUUCUUCAAAGCUGUCAGACAGGGACAUUUAAGUCUGCAGAGGUUACUGCUGUCUUUUUGUUUGUCUGUGCCCUGCCCCCAGAGGUGGAGCCUAAAGAGGCAGGCAGGCCUCCUUGUGCUGUGGUGGGCUCCACCCAGUUGGAGCUUCCCAGCUGCUUUGUUUACCCAAGCAAGCCUGGGCAAUGGCGGGCACCCCUCCCCCAGCCUUGCUGCUGCCUUGCAGUUUGAUCUCAGACUGCUGUGCUAGCAAUCAGUGAGACUCCGUGGGCAUAGGACCCUCCAAGCCAUGUGCGGGAUAUAAUCUCCUGGUGCACCGUUUUUUAAGCCUGUCAGAAAAGCGCAGUAUUAAGGUAGGAGUGAACCGAUUUUCCAGAUGCCGUCUGUCACCCCUUUCUUUGACUAGGAAAGGGAACUCCCUGACCCCUUGCGCUUCCCGAGUGAGGCAAUGCCUCGCCCUGCUUCGGCUCGUGCAUGGUGCACUGCACCCACUGUCCUGCACCCACUGUCUGGCACUCCCUAGUGAGAUGAACCCGGUACCUCAAAUGGAAAUGCAGAAAUCACCCGUCUUCUGCAUCGCUCACGCUGGGAGCUGUAGACUGGAGCUGUUCCUAUUCAGCCAUCUUGGCUGCCCUCCUCCAGCAAUGACCAAGAAUGGUUUUCCUUACCCAAUCAACUUUUGAGAGGUUAACAAGAAGAAGAAAGAAAUAGAGAAGCUGGAGUAAGAGAGAAUGGCAUCAUGACAGAUUUUUCAGGAAAGAAAGCCAUAAAUGGAUUCAGGAAAUCUAUUUGUCACAUCUCGUUUGAAGAAUGGUGAAGUAAAGGCAGUCCACUAAGAGUUUCAGCUUUCCCCUUUAACAUUGUAGGAAGGAUCAUCUAUGCAGCUUGAAAAUUGUUUUGUCGAGGUGUAUGACAUUUUCAUCUCCCAUCAUGUGAAAUCGCCUGCUUCUGCUUUGCUCUUUGCCAUGAUUGUAAGUUCCCUGAUUCCUCCCCAGAAGCUGAUACUGCUAUGCCUCUUGGACAGCCUGUGGAACCAUGAGCCAAUUAAACAUCUUUUCCUUAAAAAUUACUCAGUCUCAGGUAUUUCUUUUCAGCAG
rnacentral:lncRNA from 10 species